rnacentral:rRNA from 1 species
UACGGGGGGAGCAAGCGUUGUUCGGAUUUACUGGGCGUAAAGGGCGCGUAGGCGGUCAGCACAAGUCAGUUGUGAAAUCUCCGGGCUUAACUCGGAAAGGUCAACUGAUACUGUGCGACUAGAGUGCAGAAGGGGCAACUGGAAUUCUCGGUGUAGCGGUGAAAUGCGUAGAUAUCGAGAGGAACACCUGCGGCGAAGGCGGGUUGCUGGGCUGACACUGACUGGAUGCGCGAAACCAGGGGGAGCAAACGGG